GGUAGUCCUCUGCACACGCACACGUGCAUGUGCACACACAUAUAUAUAUGUGGCUCACAUGACACAUGGCAGUCAUAUGAAUGCACCACAUAUAUGACAGUGGUCUCAUAAGAUUAUAAUGGAGCUGAUGUUCCUGUAAGAAAUGGGAGGAUGUGUGGUUCAGUAGGAAUUUUUUCUGUGAUGAGAGCACUUUUUUCUGUGGGGCUGGACAGUGGGUUCCCUCUCACUCACGGCACCUUAAUUUUGAGUGCAUAGAUUACAUCCCAGUCAGCCGCUGACCUGUUUCAGCACAGAGGAGCCUGUCCCUCCACCAGUACGGAUUCAGAGGGCACUACAGCCCUUCUAGAUCCAGCUUUAUGGUCUUCCAAGUACAUGGCUAUAAAUUCUUGGUUGAGGAUCUAAGAUCCUGUACAAGGAUGUAGAACCACAGGAGCUACCUUAACAAGUAGUAGGUACCACUGCCACUUUAGUAAAAUCUUUCCCUGUCAGGUUGUAAUGAUGUAAAGAAUAGAUACGUUCAAUUUCUUUCAUUAGUUCAAUGCUAGGGAGAGCCCUUUGUGCCAAAUAGGGCUAAUAGAACCAAAAACAAUUUUCCAAAGUCAAAAUAUUGAAUCCUUAGUUCUAUACCUUCUCCGUAUUAAACCCCCCCCCCCCCCCCCUUUUUUGGGUGAAUUCCACAAAAGCUCCUUACUCUGACAUGCAAUAACCAAAAUCACAUGGCCAUGACUGCCCCCUAUGUUUCUCAAUUUCUUAGUUCUUCCGAUACUAACGCUACCUCGCACUGUGUCCUGGCAGUCACUGUCACGGUGAUGUGUGCCCUCCCCAGCCAGUUACUCCUCAGUACUUCCAGUCAGUCAGCCCGUAUCCCUGUUCAAGGAGCAACACUGACAGUUUCAAUUCUGACCCUUUUGGAAGGGAGGAGGGGGAGGGCUUGCCGAGUAGUAUUUAUAAAGUCUACAGUCAUGUCCGGUAAUGUCCCAGGCCUUCACAUGCACUCACCACUCACUCACUGAGUCACCCAGAACAACUUUCAGUCCUGUGAGCUCCAUAGUGCCCUAUAGAGGGAUAUCAUUUUUAUGUUGUAUUUUUGUACCUUUUCUGUUUAGAUCUGUUUAGAUACACAAACACCACUGUGUUACAAUUACCUGUAGCAGGGGUCCCCAACCUUUUUGGUACCAGGGACCAGUAGGGGGGCUGGUUUCAGGAUGAUUCAAGCACAUUACAUUCAAGCUUGUCUUCUGCUGUGUGGCCUGGGUCCUAACAGGCCCAGACCGGUACCAGUCUAUAGCCUGGAGGUUGGGGACCCCUGACCUACAGUAUUUAGUACAGUAACAUGCUAUAGAGGCUUGUAGCCUAGGAGCAAUAGGCUAUACUGUACAGUCCAGGUGUGUAGUAGGCUUUCCCAUCUAGAUUUGUGUAAGCGCACUCUAUGCUGUUCGUACAAAGACAAAAAUCACCUAAGGAUCAGAAUGUAUUUCUCAGAAUAUAUCCUUGUCAUUAAGCUACUUAUGACUGGUAUGCGUGUUUAUGUAUAUGAUCUUAAGGGUUUUUGCAUAAAAUAUAAACUCUACUUAUAUUUCCACUUCCAUCUUCUGCUACUACUUUGGUGACCUCAGCUCCAGCCAUGCCUUUUUUUUUUUUCUUUUUGCUUUCUCCACACUUCCCUUCUACAUCCAUACUCUGUGAUUGGUGUUUAGAGGUUCUGUGGAAGUUUGCUGGCUGAUCGGAGGGGGUACAUGCCUAUCCUCUACGUGGCCCACCUCCCCCUGCCUAUCUAUGCUUCCCUGCUCUUGAAGAUUCCUGGUUCCAGUUCCACUUCUACCAGGUCUUUCCUGACCACUCAAUCCUGCCUUGAUUUCUCUUUCUUUUCUUCUGACUCACAGAGUACUCAUCCUUUCUCGCACCUUCUCAUCAGCUCUCUUUUGAUUUUACUUAUAUUGAUUUAGAACUUGUAACGUGCUGGUGUUCUGUUUCCUCACUUAGACUGGAAGCUCUGUAAAGGCAGGGCUGGACUGGUGGCAUACUCUCUCUUCUCCAAGGCUUUCCCCCUCGCCCCCACUCAAGGCAUUGCUCUGCACAUGGUAGGAACUUGGUACCUUAUGUAUAGUUAAACAAAUAAGUGAAGAGAAUUGGAACCUGUGGUGGGCAUAUUUAGUUAAAUAUGCAAAGCAAGAAUGCCUACACUGUGUAUGCCAAAAGUGUAAAGUUCUCCUCUGUAAUUACCAAUUUAAAAAAACACUUUGUAUUUAUAGUCAUGUUUGGCACCAAAUCAGCACUGGUUUCUGCCUCCUUGGUACAAAUGAAACAAAACCUUGAAUGCAGUGUUUCUUGAUUGAUGUCGGAUGUCUUGAGGCAGUGCCAUCCCUCUUACUAGGAAGCAUGGCAGUGUUGAUCUGGGCUUGGUCUGUGAUUUGGUUUGCUUUUGCUCUCCUCCUCCCCCUACCUCACCACAUGCAAAAGAAGAAAAGGUCUGGCAUUCUCAUGCUGGUGCCAUUUUAAAAUAGAUUUUAAUGCAUAAUGUCUGUCUGCUCAUUCAGGUCAAGUUUGAGGUGUUGGUCCAGGCCUUCCUCAUCUGUGAGGGAGUCAAAAUCCGAUUGAAUAGGUGUUGUGGAAAAGUGAGACAUACAUGUGUUCCCUAGUUUAUCCACCAUUUGAUUACUUAUCUACCUACUUAACUAUCAAAUUAAAAAUGUGCCAGACAUUGAUCUAAGGGCUUUACAGCUAUUAAUUCAAAUAUCUUAAAUUUUUAACUACCCCAUGAUGUGGGUACUCUACUCUCAUUAUUCUCAUUUCACAGAUAAAGAAAUUGCAUACAGAGGUGGUCAAGGGGCUUGUUAACAAUUAUGCACCUAGUUUAAGGUAAUUAUUUUUUGAAAGACUUAACAAUUGUUACUUUUCAUAUUUCUUGACCUCCAGUAAUUAUUCAGGUGACUAAAUGUCUGUUAUUCCCAAUCACAUGUCUAGUUCUAUGGCUUUUAUUCUUAUAAAUCAUUCUGGCUCCUUUCUGUGGUCAUGGCUAUAGUUGUGUUCCUCUCUAAGAUGGGCAAUGGUUGUGUACGUGUGUGCACACUGUGCAGUGUGUGGUGCACAUGUCUGUACUUUAACACCUGCUGAAAAAAAUCUACACUGCUGUAUAGUUUGUAAGUGCUUUUUAAAAUGCUGUCUCCCUUAGUCCAACAACCCUGGUGAGAAGAUUUACUAUUAAUUUCCAUUUAUUAAAUGCAAUAAGUGGCUUAGAGAGGUUAAGAGAUUGGACUGUGGCCUUUACAUGAUUAGUACGUCGGAAUUUGAACCCAAGUCUUCUUAAUCCUUUGCUCGUCCCACAGGGUAUUGAGGAUGUAAUCUUUUUGAAAGAGGGGAGAUUAUCAUAUGCCAGGAAGAUUUUUUUGCAGGGUUUUUCUUGAUUUCUUUGGAGUCGGGCACUGCAGGGAAAUGUGUGCAUGAUGCUAAUAAUUCAAUACAGUUUCUAAUAAGAGAGUGUUCUCAGUUCUACCUACCUGGGCCUUUGCAAUUCAGUGAGAGGUUUCUGCGGAGAGAUUUGAGGCUAGAGAGCCCAUUUUUAUGUAAACACCCAAGUCUGGAAAUGAUUACCUCCUGUACUUCCAGAGCUAAAUAGUCUCCUCUAGGAGGACCCUACAGUAUGAGUCAGAGCUCCAGGUUCAAGUCCAGUUCCACCACUUAGCUGUGUUCCCUAACGUGCUCUUGUGUAAGUCGUCCACAUGAUCUAAACCUCAGUUCAGGGUGGCAGGCUUUAAAGGGGUAACUGUGUGCCAGGCACUGUGAUAGGUCCUCCAGAUAGUUAGUUAUUCACAUCAGAUAAACUUUCUGCUCUGGAAGCGCUGUCGGACCAGUGGAGGAGACUGCCAGGAAACACAGUUAUGUUUCCUUCUGUGAUAGAGAUAAGCCCUGGGGACUUAUGAGAUGGUGGGAGGCAGUAAGCCAGGCAGUAGAGCUACAUGUCUAUCAGAGAAUGUUCCCUAAUGUACUGAGUUAAUAUUAGCUUCCUUCUCUUUCACUCUCCUAAACCCGGUCCCCCUUCCCGUCCCUUUCAGUGUCCCUCCUUGACCCAGUACUCAGCUUAUAGGUGGCAGUAUAGUAGGGUAUGUGAUGAAAGUGAAUGGUGGCCCAAAAAGGAAGAAGAGACUCAGCCAUACUCCACUCUUCUGUGAAUACUGUGGUCAGGCACCUGAGCUCCCUUUGCUGCCUGUACCCCUGAGGACCACAUACUUCUCCUAACACAGGGCUAAUCUCAGAUUUAUUAGUAUCCUGUGUGUAUGUCUGUAUCUCUCACUGACCCAAGAACCCCUUACAAAUAGAGUCAGUUACAUCUUUGUGUUCUCGGCAUCAGCACUGUGCCUGACACAAACUUGGUGGCUGAUAAGGUCUGUUGAGUGUGUGGAUGGAUAGAUGGGUGGAUGGUUGGGGGUUGCUGGAAGGAGCAGAGACUAAAACGAGAAGAGAUGAGAUGCUCUUGGGCAGUGGCUACUAAAAUUUAACCCAGGCAGGGAGGGGCUUGUGCUGGAAGCAUUAUUAAAAAACUGCCAUCUGCUAAGUAAGAGUUUAACCCCUUAGUUUCACAAGAAAGGACUGAGUUUACCCAAGAAAUGGCUUGUUUUGACAUUUAGGCCUGAAACCUGCAGUUUGCGCUGUGGCGAAACUUCCCAAGUUCUGCCUGAUGAUUGGUAUGGAGAGAAAUGGGUUCUUGGUGGAUGGAAAAGGUCCCAGCUCAGCCUAAAAGUACUCUCCUUUUCUGUUUUCAUGAAUUCGACUCCACAGGUAGAAACUGGGAUCUCCAGCAGUUUUACCCCAUUUUAAAGAAAAGCAGUAAGUUAAUGGAGGCUUUAAUUGAUAGCUACAAUAUCUUGAGUACCUGCCAUAGGCUAGGGUCUGCAGUAAAAACUUUAAUUCGCCCAGUAACUUUCUGAAAUAGGUUUUAGUGUCCUUAUUUUACAGCUGUGCAAAUGGAAGCUCUAAAAGGUCAGAAUUGAACAGUUAGUAGAGUUGGAGCUGUGGUUUGAACCCAGGCCCGUUGGCUUCCAAAGCUCCUGCUCUUAAAUGGAUUUCACUGAUACCAGGCGACUGGACUUCCCUAAAGAUGUUUAUGUACAUUAUCACCAGAGUCAAACUGAGAAUCAUAUUGUAUUUCCUUCAGAAUCAUAAUGUACUUUAAUCCAGAUUCUGCCUCAGGUAAUGAAGGUGGGUGGCUCACAGGCUAUAUUGAUCAAUGCUUCUUACAAGCAAAAAAAGAAAAAGAAAGAAAACCAUUUGAUUAUAUUCUGUGUAGGCAGAAUGGAUCACACCAUAGCUUGGCUGAGUUUGACAUUUACUUAAUGUGGAUAUAUUUAGUGUAAACUGAAAUUAGGCAGAGGGCUGAAAUAGGCCCUCUGGGGGUGCCGUGGAGUAAGUAGAGGUAGUUAUGCUCAGCUCCGUUCUUUGCCUUUUGAGCUUGACUUUAAAUAUUUCUGAAUGAAACAUAGAUCUUUGGUUUUAACUGGAUGUAGCUCAAAGGUCAGCCCUUCAGAACAGAGCAUUUCAGUCUCAGGGCACCAAUUUUAACCUCCUGAGAUGAGACCACAUUUGAGGCAGCUGGGUCAGCACGGGAUGGUGUCAGAGGGGGAGAUUCAUCAGUGAUUAGUCAGAUCACAAUUAAGUUUUUUGUUAUUUAUUGAGUGUCCAUAGUACAUGGGGUUUAGAAAUACGGAAUGGUUAUGGGUUUUGCUGUUUGUUUUUGAGAAAUAUCCUGUCACUUUUUUUCACAUGAGCAAGAGAAUCCUCAAGGAGAGAUUUAUUUAUUCCCCUUUGAACCUAGGAGUUUUAUUUUGUUUUCUUUAGUAAAACAUGUAAAGUAAAACAAUUAUAUGUCAUCAUGUCUGUCCCCUCACUCCCUUCCUCUAAGUAGUUUAAUUUAAUUGUUGGACACGGAGGAAGAUAGUAUUCAUGAAAGUGCCUGAUAGGUGGUAGGUGGCUAGCUAGUGCCCAUGAAUCUUCAUUUCCCUGUGCAGCUUGCUUCCCCAAGAGGUACUGGUGGCCAGGUGCUAUUCAUCCAGGUAAAGAUGGAGAAAAUUCAGUUUCGUCAUUUCUUCAGGCAUGUCGCAAACCCAGUCCAAUCUCAGGUAUUCCAGAUACGAGCGAUGUGCCGGUUGUGCAAGGCUCAGAGGAGCAUCGCUCACUCAGAGGUACAGAGGCCUGCCUGCCCUGAGCCCUUUGUUCUCCUGGUUGAAAGCAGUUAAUUAGCAACUGUCUCCAUAGCAACUACCUCACAGUCCAAAAACAUUGUCUAGUUUUUCAGUUUAGCUUAUCACACUGUUUACCUGAAGGGCUUUUCACUGCUCUGAGUCUCAUUUGAGUUGGCGGCAUGCCUGUUGGGGAAGUGAAUUGUCAAGAUAGAAAAAAACACCAUGGUAGCAAGAAGCUUCUCCCUAACCGGACCAACCUGGGCUCUGGAUUCUGUGUAAACAAAAGUUGUGAGGGCCUAACAUUUUUACCUUCUUUUUUUUUGUUUGUUUGUUUGCCAGAAAAGUGCCAUUCUCUCCACCAAUCCCAGAAUUAUGAGGAUUUGUCCCCCUUUCCCUGAGAGGCUUUCUAAGCUCUUUAAUAUUCCCUGUUUAUAGUACAUUUCCAUUAUUAGUCAUCUCGAAACCCCGGGUGCUCUCAGCUGCUGCUGUACAUUCGAGGAAAUUUCACUUCCCUAAGGGUCUUGGCAUUUCUGAAGGCCCUUGGAUGAAGGAUUAUGAGUCUGCAUGUGAAUUAGUCAGAGCAGUUUUGUUUUCAGUUACAAUGAGCUGCUCUCCUCCUUACCUGUGGCUUGGAUGGUUUAAGUUGAUAGUGUGUGAAAAAAAGAUGACUUCGGGUGGCUCAUUGGUACAUAGGACGGGGAACUGUGGCUUUUCUUUAGCUGUGCAACAAAGACAAUAAUUUCCGAGGCUGUCUUUGAUUGAGUACCUAUUGUAUGGACCACUGUGCUGGGACUUGUAGGAGCUUUAGCUCACUUCUGCAAAGGGAAGAUCGGGGAUCUGUAUUUUAAAGACAGAAAAUCCAUGUUUUAAGGUGUUGCUGCCAGACCAGAAUUGUAGAAUGCCAACUCAGUCUGUUGGUUUAUAAGACACAGCUCUUCCCUGAAAUCGGGAAGCACGACGGACCCAGAGCCUUCUGUCAGGAUUUGGUGGUGAUAGGUUUUGCCCAUACCUGGUGAAGGGUUUAGUUAGGAUGUCUGUCACAGCGCUCCGGGAGACUUUUGCCCAAGGGGCUGGUUAGAAUCUCAUGGUGUACAUGAGUAAUCAGAUUCCUCAGUUAUAUCCAGGAAAAUCAUGUUUCUGAGGUUUUCUUGGGUCCAGUGAUAAAGUAGUCGAGUUUAAUUUUUAGACAAUGUACAGUACCAGAGCUUAUAUAGAUACCUAAGUCUGUGUGGUUCCCUUCGAAGCAGUAACCUGAAAAGACUGUGCUUCAUGAUUUUCCCACUCUGCAAACAUUUUUAAGGGACCUCUGUGGGGGAAAGUGCUCUCCAAGCUUGUGACAUGGCUUUGAAUUCAAUGCAACACACAACUCUUGAGCACUAAACUUCUGCUACUGUGGGCUGAAAAGUAUGGUUGUUCCCUAGUGGCGAUCACUGGACCUAGCAUGGAUU